rnacentral:miRNA from 1 species
UUAAAAAAUACUCUCCCUUCAUAUCAAAAUCGUUUAUGCAUUUCUUGUAUCCGUUUUUGCCGCAUGCUCGACAGAAUGGUUUCGUAUCGAGGGAAAUUUUUCCUUGGAUCAUGCAGCAAAAACGAAAAUAAAAUCUGCAUAGAAGACUUUAACAUGAAUAGAAAGUACUAUUU